rnacentral:rRNA from 1 species
ACUCAAAUGAAUUGACGGGGGCUCACACAAGCGGUGGAGCAUGUGGCUCAAUUCGAAGCAACGCGAAGAACCUUAUCCUGGGCUUGACAUGUACGGAUUAGUCCGCUGAAAGGCGGAUGACACUCUUGUAGUGGAACGUACACAGGUGCUGCAUGGCUGUCGUCAGCUCGUGCUGUGAAGUGUCGCGUUAAGUCGCUUAACGAGCGAAACCCCUAUCACUAGUUGCCAACGGGUCAUGCCGGGGACUCUAGUGAGACUGCCGGUGUUAAACCGGAGGAAGGUGGGGAUGACGUCAAGUCCUCAUGGCCUUUAUGCCCAGGGCUGCACACGUGCUACAAUGGUGCGAACAGAACGAUGCAAGACCGCAAGGUGGAGCAAAUCGCUUAAAUCGCACCCCAGUUCGGAUUGAGGGCUGCAACCCGCCCUCAUGAAGUCGGAAUCGCUAGUAAUCGCGGAUCAGCUACGCCGCGGUGAAUAUGUUCCUGAGCCUUGUACACACCGCCCGU